rnacentral:rRNA from 1 species
UGCCAGACUCCUACGGGAGGCAGCAGUGGGGAAUAUUGCACAAUGGGGGAAACCCUGAUGCAGCAACGCCGCGUGAGUGAAGAAGUAUUUCGGUAUGUAAAGCUCUAUCAGCAGGGAAGAAAAUGACGGUACCUGAGUAAGAAGCCCCGGCUAACUACGUGCCAGCAGCCGCGGUAAUACGUAGGGGGCAAGCGUUAUCCGGAUUUACUGGGUGUAAAGGGAGCGUAGACGGCGAUACAAGUCUGAAGUGAAAGCCCGGGGCUCAACCCCGGGACUGCUUUGGAAACUGUGUUGCUGGAGUGCUGGAGAGGCAAGCGGAAUUUCUAGUGUAGCGGUGAAAUGCGUAGAUAUUAGGAAGAACACCAGUGGCGAAGGCGGCUUGCUGGACAGUAACUGACGUUGAGGCUCGAAAGCGUGGGGAGCAAACAGGAUUAGAUACCCGUAC